UACGAAGGGGGCUAGCGUUGCUCGGAAUCAUUGGGCGUAAAGCGCGUGUAGGCGGUUGUCUAAGUCUGAUGUGAAAUCCCGGGGCUCAACCCCGGAACUGCAUCGGAUACUGGACAGCUAGAGGAUGAGAGAGGAUGGUGGAAUUCCAGGUGUAGGGGUGAAAUCCGUAGAUAUCUGGAGGAACAUCGGUGGCGAAGGCGGCCAUCUGGCUCAUUUCUGACGCUGAGACGCGAAAGCGUGGGGAGCAAACAGG
rnacentral:rRNA from 1 species